GGUGAGGUGUCCGAGCGGAUGAAGGAGCAUAUCUGGAAAGUAUGUAUACGAAAAACGUAUCAAGGGUUCGAAUCCCUUCCUCACCG
rnacentral:tRNA from 1 species